rnacentral:rRNA from 1 species
UUUCCAGAGAUGGAUUGGUGCCUUCGGGAACUGUGAGACAGGUGCUGCAUGGCUGUCGUCAGCUCGUGUUGUGAAAUGUUGGGUUAAGUCCCGCAACGAGCGCAACCCUUAUCCUUUGUUGCCAGCGGUUAGGCCGGGAACUCAAAGGAGACUGCCAGUGAUAAACUGGAGGAAGGUGGGGAUGACGUCAAGUCAUCAUGGCCCUUACGACCAGGGCUACACACGUGCUACAAUGGCGCAUACAAAGAGAAGCGACCUCGC